AUCUCGCUCGGCCGAUACCUCGGCCUGCGGGGACAGUGGGGCGCGGACUUUGCGCUGGACGACAAUGACU
rnacentral:SRP_RNA from 12 species